ensembl:lncRNA
CUUGCCGGGACGCUGUGCUCGAGCCUGGCCUGGCUGGAUGAGCUCGGGAUGCGGGGCCUCCCAUGAGUGCCUCUGCCGCAAGGGCCCCGCCAGCACCCAGCCUCCCUUCCUCUUCCGCCCCCACCUGCCCCGGGUUCUCUCCUGGCUCCUUCUUCAGUCACCCCCAGCAGCGGGGCAGUUGUCCCUCCCGGGCUAGGGCCGGGGUCUGGCUCAUCCCCAUCUCCUCGCCACCCCGGGCUCGGAGCUCGGAGCAGCGCGCCGGACAGCACAGCAGGAGGGGCUCCCAGGUCCCGAGUCGAUGAGGACCCCGGAGCGGCCCGGUGCGGUGCUUUGGGUCAGCUCAGAGGCCACCGCUGCGGGGACAGAAGCUGCCAAAGCCCCAAGGCAAGUCAGCAGGAGGAGCUUCGGGCACGGGGACGGGCGCCGGUCACAGCCCUGAUGCGCACCCUCCGCCGGGGCCCCCAGGUCCACCCGCGUUCACCCCACCGCCCCAAACCCCGAGUGACCCCAGGGGACCGGGUCCCUGCCGGACGAGUUCCAAGCCCACACCCCAGGCCCCCCAGGACUCGGCCUGCCCGGCCUCAUUGGGUCCCCAGCGCUGAGGGCCCAGCACCUCCCCGGCGACCCGGAAGGACACACGCUGCAGGGUCAGCCGCUUCGGUUUAAGAUGCGCGGGAAACUCUGCCCACACACAUCUGACGAGCAAAUCGGUGAAACCCGUCACCCGGAAUGAGAAAACGGGUUACUUUUUGAUAGAUUUCCCUCCAGUUUAGGGUGGCUGCUGUAUAUAACAGCAACCUUCUUUCCAGCAUGCCCCUACUCCCACCAAAAGAGUAACCUGACGCUUGCUCUCCUCCUGGCAACCACUGACGUCACCGGCUCCUCCAGUCCCUAGCCGCUCCCUCACUCAGCCCCGCCUCAGCCCCUACAAGCUCCACCCCCGCCCCUAUAAAAGGCACUUGCUUCCCCUACCAUCUUGCUUUUGUCUCUCCUUUGUUCAGAGACGACCCGGCCAGCCGCUCCCGCCUCCGGCCGCAGUCGGAGAAGCUGGUUCCUCCUGUCCUUGCCCAGCGCCCGCUCUCGGCCGAUGCAGAAGGAGACGUUCCCCAGGCCCGGACACCCCACUUCCAGGUCAGCGGGGCAGGCAGAGGGUGUGACCGGAAGGGCUUUCCCCGAGACACGGAGGCCAGGCUGCAGCCUGGGUGGCAGAAGCUGGCUUUGUUGUUGGAGGAGGGGAACAGAGAAGAAAUGGUAGUGCUCGUGGCUAAAGCCAACGGCCACAUCCGUGAGAACCACCGGGUGAGCACAAAAGCCCUGGAGCCCUGACUGAACAUCACCAGGGGCGGGGGCUGCACCGAAGCCACAUUUGUGAACAGGCCGGCAGCAGCAUCGCCCGCACAGGCCUCUGCCCACAAGUGGCUUCUGUGUGUGGCACCGAAGGUCACUAUGACAACAGCUUGUGCACCCCCGUGCGGUCCCCCACAGAACUGUUGGGUGUUCUGAGGAAGAGAUCAUACACACCCCCAGCUGGCCCUGUGGAAGGGUCACAGGGAAGUCACCAGUCCUGCGUGGGUCUCUGGUUACCAAACAUCUGGGUACAGAGCCUCAGGGGAGAGCCCAAGACUCACCACCACUCCUUUGUUCCAAGCUCCACCGCUCGUUUAGUGGCGGGGGACCCAGAGCGAGAGGUGGUAUCUCCCACAUCAGCACUGGUUCACCAGGUCUGGUCACUCACCAGUCACCGGGGACCCCGAGAAGGUGCUGGGGAGCAUUGCUGCAUCUCCACGGCCGGGCCUAGGAUGGGAGGAGAGGGCUCACGGGUGGAUCGGUCUGUCCUCCACUUCAGCAGUGCCCUUGACGGGUGGACAGGGACUUCCUCCUUCACCCGCUGGCCCGGCACUGGGUGCAGCAAGGGAGAUGUUAUUCUUGUCGAGGAGGACAUUUCUAAAUGAAUUCCCUGCCAUGAAACUAUUCUGCAGGUAAAAUACUUCUACAACCACAAUUUUUAAUGCUUAUAUUUUUAUUCAAGGGGCCUGUUGAGAACUGGCAGAUCCUUCAUCAAUGGAAAACCACUCCCUUCCUUUGAAUCUUUACCCAGAGAGGCUAUUAGAAUAAAUAAAUUCAUUGAAGUUACAGGUUACAAAGUCAACAUAUAAAAAUCAGU